UGGGGAAUCUUGGACAAUGGGCGCAAGCCUGAUCCAGCCAUGCCGCGUGAGUGAUGAAGGCCCUAGGGUCGUAAAGCUCUUUCGCCAGGGAUGAUAAUGACAGUACCUGGUAAAGAAACCCCGGCUAACUCCGUGCCAGCAGCCGCGGUAAUACGGAGGGGGUUAGCGUUGUUCGGAAUUACUGGGCGUAAAGCGCACGUAGGCGGAUCGGAAAGUUGGGGGUGAAAUCCCGGGGCUCAACCCCGGAACUGCCUCCAAAACUAUCGGUCUAGAGUUCGAGAGAGGUGAGUGGAAUUCCGAGUGUAGAGGUGAAAUUCGUAGAUAUUCGGAGGAACACCAGUGGCGAAGGCGGCUCACUGGCUCGAUACUGACGCUGAGGUGCGAAAGUGUGGGGAGCAAACAGGAUUAGAUACCCUGGUAGUCCACACCGUAAACGAUGAAUGCCAGUCGUCGGGUAGCAUGCUAUUCGGUGACACACCUAACGGAUUAAGCAUUCCGCCUGGGGAGUACGGUCGCAAGAUUA
rnacentral:rRNA from 1 species